GCCUUGAUGGUGGAAAGGACGUGUCUGAGGUGGGAGGAAAAGACAUCCUGUGGUCCCUACUAAAGCAUAAUUCUCUGAAGAACAACAAUUUGAAGAGGUUGAACCAACAGAUAAAAAUACAGACUGAUGACUACUUAAAAGUUCCUUAGGAAUAAUGGCUAAUGAAUUGGAAAAAAAACAGAAGAAAGAAAUAGCUUAACACCUAAAUACCAGCAGAAACUCCUGCUGAGACAAAUGUUCCAGGGUGUGUUCACUGUGACAUUCAAAGGGAAGAAAAGUGCAAAGGGGCAAGAAAGCAGAUGUGUUAUAACACUAUGAUUCAUUUUCUUAGAGGGUUAAAAUUCAUGCAAGAGAAAAUCAGUGGUGAAGUUAUAGUACAGAAUCAUCAUUUGAAUCAUAACAAGAA